rnacentral:rRNA from 1 species
CGGACGGGUGAGUAACACGUGGAUAACCUACCUAUAAGACUGGGAUAACUUCGGGAAACCGGAGCUAAUACCGGAUAAUAUUUUGAACCGCAUGGUUCAAAAGUGAAAGACGGUCUUGCUGUCACUUAUAGAUGGAUUCGCGCUGCAUUAGCUAGUUGGUAAGGUAACGGCCUACCAAGGCAACGAUGCAUAGCCGACCUGAGAGGGUGAUCGGCCACACUGGAACUGAGACACGGUCCAG